rnacentral:tRNA from 1 species
GCAGUCGUGGCCUACUGGUUAGUGCUUCGGACUUGUAACCGGAGGGUUGCUGGUUCGAACCCCAACCGAGCA